rnacentral:sRNA from 1 species
UCCCUCCCGAAGCUGCGAGCUCAGUGGAAGAGGACGGCCUUCCCCGAAUAGAGACGGACCAGUCUUCGGUCUUCGGUUGAGGGUAUACGAGUAGCUGCACUCCCCUGCUAGAACCUCCAAACAAGC